GGGCGUAGCUCAGAUGGUAGAGCGCUUGCUUAGCAAGUGAGAGGUUCGGGGAUCGAAACUCCGUGCCACCA